rnacentral:rRNA from 1 species
AUUGAACGCUGGCGGAAUGCUUUACACAUGCAAGUCGAACGGCAGCACGGACUUCGGUCUGGUGGCGAGUGGCGAACGGGUGAGUAAUGUAUCGGAACGUGCCCAGUCGUGGGGGAUAACGUAGUGAAAAUUACGCUAAUACCGCAUACGAUCUAUGGAUGAAAGCGGGGGAUCGCAAGACCCCGCGCGAUUGGAGCGGCCGAUAUCAGAUUAGGUAGUUGGUGGGGUAAAGGCCCACCAAGCCAACGAUCUGUAGCUGGUCUGAGAGGACGACCAGCCACACUGGAACUGAGAAACGGUCCAGACUCCUACGGGAGGCAGCAGUGGGGAAUUUUGGACAAUGGGCGAAAGCCUGAUUCAGCCAUUCCGCGUGCAGGAUGAAGGCCCUCGGGUUGUAAACUGCUUUUGUACAGAACGAAAAGGUUUCUACUAAUACUAGGAGCUCAUGACGGUACUGUAAGAAUAAGCACCGGCUAACUACGUGCCAGCCGCCGCCGUAA